AUACGGAGGGUGCAAGCGUUAAUCGGAAUUACUGGGCGUAAAGCGCGCGUAGGCGGUUUGGUUAGUUGGAUGUGAAAUCCCGGGGCUCAACCGAGGAACUGCGCUCCAAACCGCCAGGCUUGAGGGAGGCAGAGGGGGGUGGAAUUCCGCGUGUAGCAGUGAAAUGCGUAGAGAUGCGGAGGAACACCGAUGGCGAAGGCAGCCCCCUGGGUCAGCACUGACGCUCAGGCACGAAAGCAUGGGGAGCAAACAGGAUUAGAUACCCCGGUAGUCC
rnacentral:rRNA from 1 species